AUUGAACGCUGGCGGAAUGCUUUACACAUGCAAGUCGAACGGCAGCACGGACUUCGGUCUGGUGGCGAGUGGCGAACGGGUGAGUAAUGUAUCGGAACGUGCCCAGUCGUGGGGGAUAACGUCGUGAAAAUUACGCUAAUACCGCAUACGAUCUAUGGAUGAAAGCGGGGGAUCGCAAGACCUCGCGCGAUUGGAGCGGCCGAUAUCAGAUGAGGUAGUUGGGGGGGUAAAGGCCCACCAAGCCAACGAACUGUAGCUGGUCUGAGAGGACGGCCAGCCACACUGGAACUGAGACACGGUCCAGACUCCUACGGGAGGCAGCAGUGGGGAAUUUUGGACAAUGGGCGAAAGCCUGAUCCAGCCAUUCCGCGUGCAGGAUGAAGGCCCUCGGGUUGUAAACUGCUUUUGUACAGAACGAAAAGGUUUCUACUAAUACUAGGAGCUCAUGACGGUACUGUAAGAAUAAGCACCGGCUAACUACGUGCCAGCAGCCGCCGUAA
rnacentral:rRNA from 1 species